UCCCAAUGAAGACAAUUGAAAUCCAAUCCUGACCUUUUCCUGAUGAGAAAAGUAGAAAUAUCGAGCUUUUUAACACUGAGGGAU
rnacentral:snoRNA from 1 species